AGCAGAUCUUCGCGUGACGCUCCUGUCGAAUGCGCCUAAUCCCUUCGGCGUGCUCAGCUCGAAAGCGACUGGAGAGCCGCCGCUGUGCUUGGCGUUCGGGAUCGUCGGCGCUCUCCGACAAGCCAUAGCGGCCGCCAGGGCCGAUGCCGGCGUCAUGGGAUGGUUUCAUAUUCCGUCGCCUCUGACAGUCGAGCGCAUUCAGCAGCUGUGCCUGGUUGACCGCUCGCAGUUUGUGCUCCGCGAAAACCGUGAUUUCCUAUCGUCUACACAUGAGCAGCAAACUCAGCAAGAAGCCUGCACAGAAGAUUCGCAGAAAAGGCCAGCAGCAGAAAUGGAAACCGAAGAAUCAACCCAAUGCGUCAUUAACUGAAAAAAGCUGUUCUUUCGGUGUACCUUAAAUAAUUUUUUUUCAGUGUUAUAUGUUUCGAAGUAAUAUUUUUAGAAGAAUUUUCAUGAAAAUUUAAAGAGCAAUGAAAAUACUCAGGAAAAUGAAGUAUAAUUUCAUUGGAAAAUUUUCGGAAACCUGCUUCAUCCUCACUUAGGAACUUCCCAAAAUAAGGGCAUUAUGAACAGAACAACGACUAAAUUUAUACCGAAGAGACUAAAACCAAAAUAGCCGCCUGAACUGGCUUUUUCCAGUUUUUAUAAUAAUUAAUGGCAAUUCCUAAUUCAUUUAAUUAGUUUAUGUUACUUAAUGGAAUUUGUUAAUUAAUUUUAUUACCAAAUCAUCAUUUUUUUCGUGUACGUGCGUUCCGUUGAGCGUAUUGAAUGCAACUUACACUUAGCUUCUUGCCCUAUUGCCAAUCUGUUCGCUGCGACGGCAACUGGGUCGCACCAAAUCAUUUACAAGUUCUUACCCUUUCUAUAAUAUUCUAUUAAUUAUUUAGCAUUGAUGUUAAUUAUGUCACAGGUAAAAAAAUGUUUAGAGUAUCUCCGUAAUGCUGUGCUACUAAUUAAAUCGAGCCAUUUCACCGAUGAUGUUGAUGAGCUUGUUAAAAUUUAAUGGCUUUAAUGAACGCAACUCCGUUCCAUGGCUUCUUAUUUUACAACCAUCGGGAUAUAAGUCUAUUAUUAAACUGCUUCUGUCGUAGAAAUGAAUCGUCGAUUAAUGACCCUGCAUUUGUUUUUGACUCUAUAAGAAUGGAAUCGUUUGCAGCGAUUCCCAAACAUUUGCAGGCUGACGCCCCUUGGCUCCCCAGUAAAUUCCUAGCGCCCCCCAACAGACAUACGGAAACAACACCUCGUUCUUGAUAUUUGGUAUGCUACAAUUUGUACCUUACUCCCAAAUCUUUCCACCGCCCCCAGGGAGAACUUUGGGAGCAUUGGUUUAAAAGUAUACUGGUUGCUUCAUGGGGCACCAUAUCGAGGGGUUGCAACUAAACUCAAACAGUUUGAAUUUAAUCAAAGUUGAGUUAAAAUCUUGAAACCGCUGUUUGAUGCAGAUUUCUGAUUUGAUAAGCAAUUUUCCAAUUUUGGGUUCCACCUCUGGUUCCUUGGGUUGGAGUAGUCCUGAAUCAUUGCAUAUUUUAACAGAAGCCUUGUCUUAAACAACGCUUACAGUUCCUAUAUACGCUUGAAAAUGUUAAUUGAUGAACGUUCGUUAUCACGUUCAUCCGGCAAUUCUGUCCUUUUCCAUUAAUGUUCUUGUUUUACUGAAAAAUUUGUUCAAGUUAUUAUUGAGCUGUCUCUGAAAUAUUUUUGAUGAAA
rnacentral:lncRNA from 1 species